CUGAACCUGAACCUGGACCUGAGCCCAGCUGUGUGUCCAUGAGGAGUGACUGGUCUAUUGGUCAUCGUAUAACAUUUACAGAUAAAGAUGCUUCUGAGAAAACGAUCCAGCAGCAGAGAGCAGACUCCCCUGAGUCCAGCUGUGUGUCCAUGAGGAGCGACUGGUCUAAGCAUGGACUUAUUUUCUUCAAACACAGACAUCACUCUAUGGAUCACGGGUGAUUGCUCAGUGUUGGUGCUUCUCAACCUCAGGUCUGUCUUUGACACAGUAGAUCAUCACAUCCUGUCUGGAGUCUGGCGAAAUUACCUUGAAUCCCCAGGUAAUAUCACCAGACUCAUCGAUUUCAGUUCAGCCUUUAACACCAUCCAACGCCACCAGAUGAUAAGGAAACUCUCUGACCUCAACGUCCCACCCCCCUCAUUCACUGGAUACACAGCUUCCUCAGUGACAGACCACAAUCCACCAGAGUGGGCAACACCAUCUCCCCAGCAGCCAUCACCAACAUGGGAGACCCACAAGGAUGUGUCCUGAGCCCCUUCCUGUUCACCCUAUACACCAAUGACUGCACCAGCACCUCACCCAUCACCACCUACCUGAAAUACUCAGAUGACACUGCAGUACUUGCUCUACUCAAAGACAAUAACUCAGUAACAGACUAUUACAACUCUCUCAUCUCACACAAUGCUGCACAGACAAUCACCUCCAGCUAAAUGUUUCUAAAACAAAAGAACUGGUUUUCAACCCCUCCAGCAGGUCAGCCCCUAACUCCUCCCACAACCCUGUCAACAUAAAUGGUGAAGCAGUUGAGAUGGUGGAGAGCCACAAAUAUCUCGGACUCAUCCUGGACAAUAAACUUACCACUUAAUUCACAUUUUACACUCCUUCCAUCCAGCCAGUGAUACAGGUCGUUGGCCUGGAAGAAAAUAAAAUUCAACAAAAGUUUCAUCCUGUAUGCUGUAACUGUACUGAACAAGAAAAUGAAAAGACUAACUGUGGUGAAAUGUAUAUGUAUGGUGGUGGGUAUGCACUGUGAUAUAGUACUGGUAUGGUAUGGUAUUGGUUAAUGUUUCCCUCUGUAAGGUUGUCUGUGUUGUAAUGUUGCUUGUGUAAUCCUCGUGGCUGUACGGUAGUGAAAACAAUUAUCCUGGAAAAGGCCAUUAGGGACAGCAAACUCUUUACAGCUUAAUGUCAACAAGACUGAAAUCUUGAUUGUCGCUCCAGAUAAAACGGCCCCCAUGAUCUUACAAAGUAUGGGGUCUCUUUCUUCUGCUGUCCAUCCUAGUCUGCAUAAUUUAGGGGUAAUCUAAAUUAUCAUUAUUAUUUGACACCCAUGUAAAACAGCUGACCAGAUCCUGCUUCCUUCAUUUAAGAAACAUCAGUAAACUGAGAAGUUCAGCCCAGCCCAAGCAGUUUCAGCCCAUGAACUGGAAAUGCUCAUACAUGCAUUCAUCUCAUCUACUAAUGCAACUCUCUCCUCGCUGCAUUCAGUAACUCUGCUCUUGACUACCUCCAAGCUAUUCAAAAUUCUGCUGCAAGACUUCUCACUAGGUCAAAUAAAUGGUCUCACAUUACCCCUUUACUCAGAUCUCUGCAUUGGCUUCCCAUCAGGUAAAGAAUUAGGUUUAAAUUUCUCACUCUCACCUACAAAGCACUGCAUGGCCUGGCCCCCUACAUAACUUUAUGAACUAUUUCACCCAUAUUCAUUAAUACUCACACUUAGGUCUACCUCAUCAUUCUCCUGUCUGUCCCACACACCCAUGUCAAGACUCGGGGCAAUCAAGCAUUUAAGGCUGUAGCUCCAAGACUAUGAAAUCCUCUGCCCGAACCCCUCCGUCUGCUGAUUCUGUGGGCCCUUUAAAAAGGCAGCUAAAAACUCACCUUUUA